rnacentral:rRNA from 1 species
GACGAACGCUGGCGGCGUGCUUAACACAUGCAAGUCGAACGGAAAGGCCCUGCUUUUGUGGGGCGCUCGAGUGGCGAACGGGUGAGUAACACGUGAGUAACCUGCCCUUGACUUUGGGAUAACUUCAGGAAACUGGGGCUAUAACCGGAUAGGAGCUCCUGCUGCAUGGGGGGGGUUGGAAAGUUUCGGCGGUUGGGGAUGGACUCGCGGCUUAUCAGCUUGUUGGUGGGGUAGUGGCUUACCAAGGCUUUGACGGGUAGCCGGCCUGAGAGGGUGACCGGCCACAUUGGGACUGAGAUACGGCCCAGACUCCUACGGGAGGCAGCAGUGGGGAAUAUUGCACAAUGGGCGGAAGCCUGAUGCAGCAACGCCGCGUGCGGGAUGACGGCCUUCGGGUUGUAAACCGCUUUCGCCUGUGACGAAGCGUGAGUGACGGUAAUGGGUAAAGAAGCACCGGCUAACUACGUG